UCCUCCUUUUCUCAUAUGGCGCAGUGACUGGAUUUUGAUGCUGUCGACAGAUACUUUCCAAACCUUAAGAAACAGCAGAGACCAGACUCUCCUCUACCCAGCUGUUCAUGAUGAGUGCCUGGUCCAUGGAUCCCAAUGGUGUUAGCUUUGGAGAUGGACACAACCCUGCUGAAGAGAGAAAUCAGCAGCAAAGGUCAGAGUUUGCAAUCUGACCAGC